UCCGGGUUCUCCCCCACUCAGUCUGACCCAACCCCAGUCUGUCCGACUGCCCCCCAGAUCGCGCCGCUGCUCCUCCACCCCCCAGAUUCGGCUGCUGGCGCUCGAGACGCUCAAGAAGAAGCCGGCGGCGGACAAGGGGGCCAAGCCCGCCGCCAGGGAGGGGGAGCGCAAGCCGGAGGUCUUCUGGCCCCCGUGCCCCUCACCGCGAAGUCCUGGGCCAACGUCGAGGACGACAACGACAAAGACUACUUCGCCACCACCGCGCCGCCGCCCAGGCCCGUCUGGGGAACGACAGCCGCGACGACGCCAAGGACCAGCGCGACGCGCCCGCCCUGGAAGAGGGCCAGCAGCAGGAACUAAGGGUUCAAAGAAGGUUGUCCAACAGUCUCCAAGGGCUCAGGUUCAGUGGAAGAUAUCAUGUUCGAUAGCAUGAAGUAUGAAGAAAAUGGAUCCAAUCAAUGAGGACCUCUUGAUGCUCGAUACAAAUUGUCUAGUAAAGCUAGCGUUUAUCAGACCAAAAGACAGCUAGUGUUUACAGACUUCUGCAAUAAUUGGCAUGUAACAACUAACAACUAUAAACUAUGUUUGACUUUGGUAGAGGCUAAAUGUUCCUGACGAUGCAUUAGUAUAACUUGUCUAUGUUAUGUGUGUAACAUUUGUUUGGCAGAAACUAAGUGAGAUGACAUAUUGACAUGUAAGAACUAUAAACGUGGCUUGCUUGUUUGUGUGUAACUUAUGUUAGCCUUGCUU